AAUGUAUUCCCUGUGUGUCUCAUCAUGGUUCUACUGGUUAAUGUUCAUGUAUUCUUAUAUCUCAUCAUGGUUCUACUGGUUGAUAUUUGUGUACUGACUGUAUGUUUCUCAUAAGAACUGAAAGCAAACAUACAAAUGAUGAAAAACACAAUGUGUUGGAUUUUUUGGUAAUGAAGCACUAUAUAAAGCCUCCAUUUGAUAUCUUUGACAUUCUUUACAAUAAAAGCAAUAUUUGUAAAAUAAUUUUCUAUAUCUUUCAUUUGCAAUACUAAUUUUAUUUUUAUCCAUUUUUCCAAAAUAAAUCACCUAUUCUCCACUAAAUGUUAGUAUGAAAAUGAAUAAAGUUUACAAUUUAAUGAGGUUACAAUAAA